AGCGAACGCUGGCGGCAGGCUUAACACAUGCAAGUCGAGCGGGCGUAGCAAUACGUCAGCGGCAGACGGGUGAGUAUCGCGUGGGAACGUGCCCUUUGGUUCGGAACAACACAGGGAAACUUGUGCUAAUACCGGAUAAGCCCUUACGGGGAAAGAUUUAUCGCCGAAGGAUCGGCCUGCGUCUGAUUAGCUUGUUGGUGAGGUAACGGCUCACCAAGGCUACGAUCAGUAGCUGGUCUGAGAGGAUGAUCAGCCACACUGGGACUGAGACACGGCCCAGACUCCUACGGGAGGCAGCAGUGGGGAAUAUUGGACAAUGGGGGCAACCCUGAUCCAGCCAUGCCGCGUGAGUGAUGAAGGCCCUAGGGUUGUAAAGCUCUUUCGGCGGGGAAGAUAAUGACGGUACCCGCAUAAGAAGCCCCGGCUAACUUCGUGCCAGCCGCCGCCGUAA
rnacentral:rRNA from 1 species